rnacentral:rRNA from 1 species
GACGGAGGAUGCAAGUGUUAUCCGGAAUCACUGGGCGUAAAGCGUCUGUAGGUGGUUCGAAAAGUCCACUGUUAAAAAUUGAGGCUUAACUUCAAAGAUGCCGUGGAAACUUUCAAACUAGAGUAUGGUAGGGGUAGAGGGAAUUUCCAGUGGAGCGGUGAAAUGCGCAGAUAUCAGGAGGAACACCGGUGGCGAAGGCGGGUCUCUGGGCCGAUACUGACGCUGAGGAGCGAAAGCGUGGGGGAGCGAACAGG